AAAGAGUUUCUUUGGUGGACAGAAGGCAGGUGGGAAGACAAGGAAAGAGACAAAAGGAUUAUUCAGCCCAACAUAACCCACACAAAUCUUUCCAGAUUCUGAACUAGCUCUUCAUUUACAGUUGAAGAUAUACAUACAUCAGAUCUAUACAUAAGAGCAAAGCCUACUGCAUCUUCCUCCAAUCAGGCAAUUUAAAGGGCAAAUCCUCAGGAGCAGAAUUCCCAUCGAGUGCAGCUGUUGGCCAGUCAGAGGCUGACAGCUCUGGCACUCAGCAGCGCCACAAGAGGGUCCUGGCUCCUCCAAGUAGGACAACCAAGAUCUUGUGGACCAAAGAACCAGGACUGCUCCAGGUAUUCUGCUGAUCUACAGCAAGAUAAAUGCUGACCAGAAAUCUGAUUCAGGUACUUUGAAGCUUGCUAUCUUUUCUGAUUUAUUAUUAUCUCAACUUAACCAAAUGAUGUCAAAAUGGGAGCAAUUCGCUUUAAAUCUGACAGAAUGUUGCACGACGAGAUAUGGAAGG